rnacentral:rRNA from 1 species
CCUACGGGAGGCAGCAGUGAGGAAUAUUGGUCAAUGGGCGGGAGCCUGAACCAGCCAAGUCGCGUGAGGGAAGACGGUCCUACGGAUUGUAAACCUCUUUUGCCGGGGAGCAACGGGGUCCUUGCGAGGGCCCGAUGAGAGUACCCGGCGAAAAAGCAUCGGCUAACUCCGUGCCAGCAGCCGCGGUAAUACGGAGGAUGCGAGCGUAACCCGGAUUUAUUGGGGUAAAGGGGUGCGCGGGCGGAAAGUCAAGUUGGCGGGAAAAGUGAGGGGCUCAACCUCUUCGAGCCGUUGAAACUGGUUUUCUUGAGUGAACGAGAAGUAUGCGGAAUGCGUGGUGUAGCGGUGAAAUGCAUAGAUAUUACGCAGAACUCCGAUUGCGAAGGCAGCAUACCGGCGCUCAACUGACGCUCAUGCACGAAAGUGUGGGUAUCGAACAGGAUUAGAUACCCGGGUAGUC